AGUUUGAAGGUUUGUGAGCAUGUGUUUUGGCAUGCAUCUGUUGAGUUUGUUACCCCCUGUGUUUAGCUGUUGUUUAAGUGUUCUUUUGAUGUGUUGGCUUCUUGUUAUGAUCGUAGUUUGUAUUGGUGAGUUUUUUUUAUGCUCAAUUUGACAUACUCUUUGAAAACAUGAAGUCAAAAUUUUCACCGGGUCAAUACUAAAGCCAGGACAAAUUCUGUCCCUUUAGUGCCUCUCAGUGGCCAAAAAAGCCAAUACUUAAUCAGACAUAAACAUCAAAAAACAUCAUCAAAAACUGGUGAUCUCCCGCAGGUAAUCAAAGUCUUGAAUAUGUCAAAGAUAAGUAAUAUCAUUGACUUUAUUCCCUUUUUAGUUUUUCUGUAGCAUCAGGUUUAAUAAAAAACUCCCUUUGGCGUCCCUCAGUGGCCAAAACUACUUUGUCUGCUGUAAAAUAUAUUGGAUUAAUGUUUUUUUCAUAUUUUUUUCAUACAUCUCUUAUUUUACUUCUGCCCUGUUCAAAACUAGCAAAUGUUUCAUUGAAAAUAAAAAUUUUAACCCUAUAAGGGCCCAUUUCAGACCUAAAGUCACUUAUCAAGCAAAAAAAAAAAAGGAAGGAAAAUGACCUAUUUUUUUAAUAAAACAUAAUCCGAAGCUGGUGAUUUUUUACAAGGUGCAUAGGCUUGGGCAUGUGGAGGAUUAGAAACAUCAGAAUGUUUGGUACAUUUUUGUGUAACAGAUUUUCAUAAAAACUGCAUUAAGUGGUUUUAUAAGUGCAUUCCCUAUACUAACAUCAGAGCAUUCUCUUUCACUGACUGCAGGUGGUAGUAAUGUGUGAGACAGAAUUCAGUGUGUGUUUGUGUGCACGUGCGUGCAUGUGUGUGCGUGUAUGUGUGAGUGUGUGUGUAACAAACAAUAUAAGAUUGGAACACAACCAUAUUUUAUUGCUCAAAAUACAUCAACAAAAGUAGAAGGUGGUGUGUGUGUGUGUGUGUGUGUGUGUGUGUGUGUGUGUGUGUGUGUGUGUGUGUGUGUGUGUGUAUGAGUGAACAUGUGUGUGUGUGU